AUUGAACGCUGGCGGCAGGCUUAACACAUGCAAGUCGAGCGGGGUGAUGGUGCUUGCACUAUCACUUAGCGGCGGACGGGUGAGUAAUGCUUAGGAAUCUGCCUAUUAGUGGGGGACAACAUCUCGAAAGGGAUGCUAAUACCGCAUACGUCCUACGGGAGAAAGCCGGGGAUCACUUGUGACCUUGCGCUAAUAGAUGAGCCUAAGUCGGAUUAGCUAGUUGGUGGGGUAAAGGCCUACCGAGGCGACGAUAUGUAGCGGGUCUGAGAGGAUGAUCCGCCACACUGGGACUGAGACACGGCCCUGACUCCUCCGGGAGGCAGCAGUGGGGAAUAUUGGACAAUGGGGGGAACCCUGAUCCAGCCAUGCCGCGUGUGUGAAGAAGGCCUUAUGGUUGUAAAGCACUUUAAGCGAGGAGGAGGCUCUUUUGGUUAAUACCCAAGAUGAGUGGACGUUACUCGCAGAAUAAGCACCGGCUAACUCUGUGCCAGCCGCCGCGGUAA
rnacentral:rRNA from 1 species